AUCCAGUUGAUGAGUCCCGAUUAGGACGAAACGUGCGUCCUGGAU
rfam:Schistosoma rodhaini strain Burundi genome assembly, scaffold: SROB_scaffold0007689